GCUAAUCUGCGAUAAGCGUCGGUAAGGUGAUAUGAACCGUUAUAACCGGCGAUUUCCGAAUGGGGAAACCCAGUGUGUUUCGUCACACUAUCAUUAACUGAAUCCAUAGGUUAAUGAGGCGAACCGGGGGAACUGAAACAUCUAAGUACCCCGAGGAAAAGAAAUCAACCGAGAUUCCCCCAGUAGCGGCGAGCGAACGGGGAGCAGCCCAGAGCCUGAAUCAGUGUGUGUGUUAGUGGAAGCGUCUGGAAAGGCGCGCGAUACAGGGUGACAGCCCCGUACACAAAAAUGCACAUACUGUGAGCUCGAUGAGUAGGGCGGGACACGUGGUAUCCUGUCUGAAUAUGGGGGGACCAUCCUCCAAGGCUAAAUACUCCUGACUGACCGAUAGUGAACCAGUACCGUGAGGGAAAGGCGAAAAGAACCCCGGCGAGGGGAGUGAAAAAGAACCUGAAACCGUGUACGUACAAGCAGUGGGAGCACGCUUCGGCGUGUGACUGCGUACCUUUUGUAUAAUGGGUCAGCGACUUAUAUUCUGUAGCAAGGUUAACCGAAUAGGGGAGCCGAAGG
rnacentral:rRNA from 1 species